AGAGAGAGAGUGAGGACUUCUCCUGUGCUGUUGCUUUUGUUUCGUUUUGCCGGGUGAUACAGUGUUUGAAAUAAUGGCGAUGUAAAGGGUCAAAGGUGGGAAAAGCAUGGUGUUCUGUUGUCCCUUCGACUCUAUAUGCGUUAAUGAGUUCCAAAUUUCUACAUAUGGUGUAUGUGAAUGGAUGCAUAAAGCUAGAGCGGAAUAAAAAUUUGAAAGCAGAGAAAAAGUCACCGAAGCGGGCGCUACAGCAGGCUUUGCAAAGCAAAGCGAGCGCUGGGCGAUCGAUUCGGAUUCAGGUGUCUGCCCGCGUGCGCCAUGAUGUCGAAUUCUAUUCAAAUUAGCCUGCCGUAGCCCCAUGAUGGCCCCCGUUGUUACUGGGAAAUGCGUGGAUGGGCCCGAGACAGGCAAUGACUAUCGCGGACCAUCCAAUGGAGGAACGGGCUCAGGUGUGUGAGAGAACAUCGCGUUCCCUGUCUGGGUGAUACAGGCGAGCUCCAGCCGCCAAAUGAUGCUCCUUUGGGCCCCGCUCGACCACCAAUCAGAGACUGGUGGAGACCUGCUUGCCGUGUUGGUUGACCAUAUUUCUUUUUCUCCUUUCCUUUCUGUUCCUUUGUGUCUCUCGUAUACUAAAAGAAUUCUGUGAUCAUCUUCUGCAAGGGCAUUUAUCAGUCUAAUUUAAAAUAUAUAAUAAUCAUUUUUAAAUUACCUAAACUUUUAAAUGAUUAAAAAAAUUAGUACCAU
rnacentral:lncRNA from 1 species